AUUGAACGCUGGCGGCAUGCUUUACACAUGCAAGUCGAACGGUAACAGGUUAAGCUGACGAGUGGCGAACGGGUGAGUAAUGCAUCGGAACGUGCCCGAUCGUGGGGGAUAACGCAGCGAAAGCUGCGCUAAUACCGCAUACGAUCUGAGGAUGAAAGCGGGGGACCGUAAGGCCUCGCGCGAUCGGAGCGGCCGAUGUCAGAUUAGGUAGUUGGUGGGGUAAAGGCUCACCAAGCCGACGAUCUGUAGCUGGUCUGAGAGGACGACCAGCCACACUGGGACUGAGACACGGCCCAGACUCCGACGGGAGGCAGCAGUGGGGAAUUUUGGACAAUGGGCGCAAGCCUGAUUCAGCAAUGCCGCGUGCAGGAAGAAGGCCUUCGGGUUGUAAACUGCUUUUGUACGGAGCGAAAAGGCUCUCUCUAAUACAGGGGGCUCAUGGCGGUACCGUAAGAAUAAGCACCGGCUAACUUCGUGCCAGCAGCCGCCGUAAUAC
rnacentral:rRNA from 1 species